rfam:Gavia stellata contig50863, whole genome shotgun sequence.
CAGGGUUGAUCCUCUUUCCUUAACUCAUGCCGCUGUGCCUUUUUACUUAUUUCACAAUUGUGUGAGUUGAGUACAGAGUGUCAGUCCG